rnacentral:lncRNA from 10 species
CUGAAGCAACAUAGUCAUUAGGUUGAAAGAAAGAAGCAUCUGAUAAACCCCAGACAUCCUGGUGCCAAUUUGCGUCUCUCCCUUUCUGGCCUGUGCAGAGCUCAGAGACAGCGUCUAAGAGGGCGGCUGACAAUCUGCCUCAAACACAAACACAUGACAAAUAUAGUUCUGCAGUGAAGACUUUAGCCCCACGGGGAAAGCUGAGACUCAGGAGCCUGAUGGCAUAAACAAGGCGAAAGGCUUGGUAGCAAAUCAGAAGACUUGUUUUUGGAAGCUGAAAACUUACUUCGGCAACAACAGUCCUCCAUGGCUCCCUGUUUGUGCUCUUGCUGGCCAGGCCUGGGAAGCCCUCUUGGGGCCUCUGAGGCUUGUAACCAGCCCUGCUUAGGAACUUACUGUGUCUCUGUUUGAUUGAGCCUGGGCAUGAGAUAAAACACGAGGUCAUCUGCAAUGGCACUGGUGCUGUGGCUGUAUCAGCAUGGCUCUGAUGUCCCUUCGGGGCAGGCAACAGUUCAGGGAGGACUUACAAGCAAGCUCUGAUGGAGUCUCGCUCUGUCGCCCAGGCUGGAGUGCAGUGGUGUGAUCUCGGCUCACUGAACUUCCCCUCCCCAGUUCAAGCGAUUCUCCUGCCUCAGCCUCCCUAGUAGCUGGGAUUACAGGCCCCCACCACCAUGCCUGGCUAAUUUUUAAAUAUUUUUAGUGGAGAUGGGGUUUCACCAUGUUGGCCAGGAUGGUCUUGAGCUCCUGACCUCAAGGGAUCCACCCGCCUCGGCCUCCCAAAGCACUGGGAUUACAGGUAUAAGCCACCGCGUCCGGCCUACUCCCACUUUGUUUCCAAGGAUAGUCAAGUGAAGGAGUGGGAGUGGAGAAGGAACAAAUAAAUCUGUAACUGCUUGUGAUCAAUUAGUUGUUAAUGUCAAUACCACUGCACUGAGAAGGCUGAGGUUCACAAAGGUGAAGUGAUUUAUCUAAGGUUUUAUGUCUGGUUUGUAGAGAGCCAGGACCCAAAUCCAGACCUUCCCCUACAGACCCUGACCCUUCCUCUGCCUUGUGCCGAUGCCUUGAGGGGACCCUUCCCAAGGUCCCCUGGGCCACACCCUGCUCCCCUGACCCACAGGGCUGCUGAGGUCACCUCUUUCAAAGGGUCUGCUUUGGUUCCACUUUGCCAUUAGAAUAAAGCUUUG